GCCUUCUAUUUUGCAUUAUUAUUUCAAAACUACGGAAGCAUUAUACCCUACUUUUAUACCAUUAUACCCUAAGUUCUGUACCAUACAUUAAAUGUAAAAUGUAUGUAAAAAUGACAGAAAAAUUAUUGACUAUUCGAACCCAUAGCAUAUCAUGUUAUUUAUAGCGGCAAGGGUUCAUGUGUAGACAAUGGUAGGCUAUGCGAGAACGUUUGUAGGGAAUCUCAAUAGGCUACUGCUCAUCAGACAUGGCACGUGCAUUUUGCAAGAUGCAACCGGGUGAUAUUGUCAAACUUCAUACUAUCGGGUACCAAAGGUUGUGUGUGAUUCCUGUGUAGCAAUAUAACUUUCUCGAAAUACCAUUGUGUAUACCUUUAAGAAGUCCUUGUGCUGAUCCUUGAUUGAGUUGGACUACGUUUGUUAAGGAGCGCUUGGCGCCAGUCUGCUGGCGUCCCACAACAAGAACCCUUUCCUGUCACUUCAUAUUUAACCCCAAAUCUUCAAACAGCGUGCCCCAAUCCCCUCAGCAUUCCCUCAAAGGCUGCAGCCCAUGAUUCUUAAUGAAUGAAUGAAGAGUUUCCCAGACUCAAACCCAGUUUAAAACAUUCAAACUUCAGCUGAAUACACCGGACCUCUGUCACAAUGAUCAUUCAAUCGAUUAGGGGAGAAGAAGUGGAGUAUGGAACGUAGGCCCACACACCGUAGGUGUCGAUAAUGGUGUGUCUGGAUGAGUCCACUGAAAGGUGUUUGGAAGGGAUACACUUUCACUCUUUAAUUGAAAACUUGACUCACCUGCCGCACCACUGAGACGGUUGAAAACACGAAAUGGUUCGUCGAUCAAAGACAAGUUUUAUUCGGUAGAGUUAUUAAUAUCAACUUGCUUCUUUUAAACAUAAAACGUUUUUAUGAUGACAAUAUCGACCCACAGUGGAUGCUUUAAAUGCCAUCUUCAUAGAGAAUUGAUUCAGUAGCUAAAGCUUUUUUGAAUAAUACAAAUAAAGUCAACAGGGACAAUUCGAAUAUACUUUUUGGUUAUGGUAUAGCAGGGCUCGAUCUUGUUUGAGAAUCUUACACCAGUGUUUCCCACACGCCCAAACUACCUGCUUAUUGUAUGGACACAACAUUUUAGUGGGCCAUUAACUAUUUUCAGUUACAUUUCCAACAUCCCCCGUAUUACACUUGGUUGUAGAACAACUAAUAGACACCAUUGUUGAAAUACAUCUGAUCAGCUCAACAAACUUGUUUAUCUUAACGGCUUACUAGUCACAUAUAAUAUAGCCCACAUAGGGUUAAAUAUUUUAAUUAACGAAUUAACUUGAUCAAUUAAUCUGUUGGAUGACCAUCAAAAAUGUAAAAUAAAGACGUACCAAAUGGCCUGUUGAUUCAAAGUUCAAAUCCAGAUUAUAAUUGGAAUAUGCAUGACUUUGAUACAUUUUACAUGAUUCUUUUUUGACAAUUAAAAACAGACUUUAAACAAUAAUUAAUAGGCUAACACGUGCUCUGGUCUAUAUUUUUUGUAUAUGAAAAAUUGAUGGUUUGUCUAUCGUUUACACUGAAGCCUCUCAUUCUAAACUGACAUUUCUCUUAAUAGCUUCAUUUUACAUUAUUGAUACAAAUAUAUAUUUUUGUUUGUUUAUCAUUUAUUAAACACUUUUUACAUAUAAUAAUAUAUAUUAAUAUACUAUAAACAAGUACUCCAACUAUCACUGCAAGAACUGCAAGAAUAUUCAACAUUUCUAUCUGAAGACUGUUGGAACAUACCAGGGAAUGGAGGACUUUUCCAGACAGUCUAUCCUAAUGCUAAACUCUGAAUGAUCUCUCUAAAAUAGCCAUGUCCAUAUUCAAUAACAUUUCUGAUAAUGUGACAUAUCAUAUUUUUGACAUAUUUCUUGUGUCUGACAAUGUCUAAUGAAAGCCACAAUUUGAUUAAUAAGCAUGUAAUAGCCUAGAAGGCCUACUGAACAUAAUUAAAAUCUUUAAAAAAAAAUCACUAUCCAUGGGUGUGUCUUAACAACUUAACUGCCAGCCAGAUACUUGUAAAACUAUAUCAAAUAUAUAUUUAUAGAGCAGUGUCGUGCCUGUAGCGCUACCCUAUAAGGUCAUAGCAAAAUGUAUACAGUAUCUGAAUUCCUGCCCAAUAUCACACAUGGUAACCAAUAUCAUUUUUUAACUUAACAAUUUCUACAGAAUUUCUGAUCUAAUAAUACAUGUGUAGUAAAGUAGAAAUCCAUGUGAGUGAGGACAGGCUGUUGUCAGUGAGAUGAUGCCAGCCAAAGAGGUCAACUAAUGCCAAAUAUGUACAUUAUAUUCUUCCAUAUUACUCCUGAAGGACAAUGCUUAGAUCUUAGAUCUGUGCAACAGUGAAUCACUAUACAGACUGAGUCCUCAUACAAGGUAUAUGUGUGUGUGUUUGUGUAUCUGUUUUUCAUUCCUUCAAUAAAGACAACUUCAGUGCUACGGUUGGCCUUUUUCUCAUCCUAUAUGAAUUAUGUUCCAGCUACAAAAAAAGCACUUAAUGAGUUGUUUUGUCUGUACUCUGGUACAUGUCCACAAUCCCUCACACUGCACCCUGAAGCAGAGAAACACGUCUGUUUAGCUGAUUCAUUAUAUGGUUCAAGGUUUUCUUUUGAAGACAUUAUUUGAAACAGACACAAACUUUUUCACUGAAGAAAUUAUAUUGUCUCUUGUCAAUGCUCACUUGAAACAAGUCAUAUGUACUGACAGUAUAACAGCAGACUCAUAACAAUUUCUGAUUCAUUUAAUAAGGAAUCCGUGUCCAGUGAAUAUGAGCCUUUUUUACACAAAACAAAAGAGUUACCAUCACUGAGGUUAGACCUAAAACAGAACUAACUUUGCUGCAUUACUGUUCACAAUGUAAUACAACAAGCAGAAAGUUCAACAAAUACGGUAUCAUCGUUACCACACUGCAUGUGAUUGCAGGUGUCAAGGGCAGUGUCAUGCUAGGGGCAUUCUAUGAGUUGCUGUAAGCACUAUAAAGCUGCCUUUGGACCAGGCUAGAGGGCAUGUCCAGGUUAAUAAUGAUUCAUGAAGCCUUCAUUAACUAUUGGCAUGCUUCAUGAUUGUCAACAAAGUGGGAUUUAUCAUAUUAUAUGAAAUGAAAACCAUCUGACCAUCACGUGUGAUGGCCUUUGGACUAAAUUGUGCCGCUGAUGCUGCUGCUUUAGCACAACGUCCAUUACGUUACCCAUUCAUUUAGCAUUUGGUAAAGCAAUAAUCAUAUAAUAAAAAAAGAAGUGUACAAAUUUAUGUGAACUAUCUUGCGGGUUACUUUGUUGUUUCUUGGUUGGACAGAGUGUUUUCCAAACUUUGUGUUGGUUGGUCAUCCCAUGGGUCUGUCAUGACUCAGUGAUUUUCCCCUGAUCAAAGGCCUAGCAGAGAAUGAGGGGGAGGCCAGCUAACCUCCUGUGUUGUGGACUGUAAGGUGGAUGCAAUAACCUGAAAGGUCAGCAUCUCCCCACAUCAACACUGCCACACUGACCGGUGGAAUGUUCACAUCAGGGUCAGGUAAGGGGUUGGCCUAUGUAGGAGGCAAGGUUGGGUAGGUUGCUUUAUAAAUGCAGUCUGUUAUAGUUACCAGUUACCCAUCCAAAAUUGUAAUCAGUAACGUAACGUUUUUGUUAUCCAAACUCAGUCAUCUAAUCAGAUGAUUUACUUUAGAAUUAUUUUCCCCUUAGGAGCAUCAGAAGAAGACUAAAAGGAUCCAGCAAAUGUGUUUGUUGUGUCAUCAUAGUGGUCUCUGACUUGUGGUCAGACUCAGUCAGGUGGAACAACAUGACUGAUUUUCUGCUAGCUAGAGGUGAACUUAAAUGUUUUCCUGUUUUAAGGCUGAAUUGAAUGUCAUUGAGAAAACAGAAAGGUGUCAUAAUAUACAGUAUAUAUUUUUGCAAACAUUCUUUCUGAAUAUAAGGGUUACCAACACAUAAGGUAAUCAUCUAAUUUUUCUAAAGUGUCUGUAAUCUGAUUACAAUAUUUUUGCUAGUAAUGUAAUUGAUUAGUUACAAUUUGGUUGUAAUCAGAUUACAUGUAAUCAGUUACUUCCAAACACUGGUGGGAGGGGUAUACUAGCUUUACCAUCGGACACUAAUCAACUGAUUAUAAAAGAAAUGACAUACUCUCUCCAUUGCUUGUUGAAGGUGUUUGAUAUAGGCUGUUAAAUUGAGGUGGGUUAACAAUAUGUAUUCGUCAAAGGCUCUGGACAGUGAGACUAUAAGUAUCUGUCAGAUG